CUCUCAAGUACGAGAGCGAGGCAGCCGAGUCAGGGAACAGGCCGCGCGAGGACAGGAAGCUGCCGCGGAGCGCAAGACCGCGCCGGCUAAGGUCGACGUCCGGCGGCCACGCUUCCGCCUUGCGCGGCCCACGGCCAUCGUCACGACGCGCAGGGCAGCCCCAUUCCCAAAUUGACGCCAGAUCCUGGUACAGAUCCUUUAUUUAGACGGAGAUGAAGCAUAAUGCCCAACCAUAGUGAGUGCAACGGCCUUCAUUUUCCCUCAUAAUGGAUUGGAGGUACCUCUUGGUUCUUCGACUUGUUACAACCGGGAUCAUGCUGCUCAUUUUCUUGCACCCGGCAUCUUCGAAUACUGAACCCAAUUGUCCACCUUGUACUUGCUGCAGACCAUGCAGCUGUGGUCAUAACUGAUUGUACAUCGUUCCAGCAGUCUUCUUGGGAUUACUGUUCCGCAGAAAGCCGACCACAUCUCCUCUUUUUACGCCAUAUAUAUGUAUUACUCGGUUGCACCGUAGUAAAACAAGAUACUGUUGUAACGAUGGAUGCUGGUCUAUUGAGUAUUUACCUGGCCUAGGACUCGGAGCACUAUGCCAUAACUUGUAACGUUGAAUGCUGGUCUCUAUGUAACGAUCUUACUACUAUUCACAAGGGCAUGAUCAA